GAUGAACGCUGGCGGCGUGCCUAAUACAUGCAAGUCGAGCGAACGGACGAGAAGCUUGCUUCUCUGAUGUUAGCGGCGGACGGGUGAGUAACGCGUGGAUGACCUACCUAUAAGACUGGGAUAACUUCGGGAAACCGGAGCUAAUACCGGAUAAUAUUUUGAACCGCAUGGUUCAAAAGUGAAAGACGGUCUUGCUGUCACUUAUAGAUGGAUCCGCGCUGCAUUAGCUAGUUGGUAAGGUAACGGCUUACCAAGGCAACGAUGCAUAGCCGACCUGAGAGGGUGAUCGGCCACACUGGAACUGAGACACGGUCCAGACUCCUACGGGAGGCAGCAGUAGGGAAUCUUCCGCAAUGGGCGAAAGCCUGACGGAGCAACGCCGCGUGAGUGAUGAAGGUCUUCGGAUCGUAAAACUCUGUUAUUAGGGAAGAACAUAUGUGUAAGUAACUGUGCACAUCUUGACGGUACCUAAUCAGAAAGCCACGGCUAACUACGUGCCAGCAGCCGCGGUAAUACGUAGGUGGCAAGCGUUAUCCGGAAUUAUUGGGCGUAAAGCGCGCGUAGGCGGUUUUUUAAGUCUGAUGUGAAAGCCCACGGCUCAACCGUGGAGGGUCAUUGGAAACUGGAAAACUUGAGUGCAGAAGAGGAAAGUGGAAUUCCAUGUGUAGCGGUGAAAUGCGCAGAGAUAUGGAGGAACACCAGUGGCGAAGGCGACUUUCUGGUCUGUAACUGACGCUGAUGUGCGAAAGCGUGGGGAUCAAACAGGAUUAGAUACCCUGGUAGUCCACGCCGUAAACAAUGAGUGCUAAGUGUUAGGGGGUUUCCGCCCCUUAGUGCUGCAGCUAACGCAUUAAGCACUCCGCCUGGGGAGUACGACCGCAAGGUUGAAACUCAAAGGAAUUGACGGGGACCCGCACAAGCGGUGGAGCAUGUGGUUUAAUUCGAAGCAACGCGAAGAACCUUACCAAAUCUUGACAUCCUUUGACAACUCUAGAGAUAGAGCCUUCCCCUUCGGGGGACAAAGUGACAGGUGGUGCAUGGUUGUCGUCAGCUCGUGUCGUGAGAUGUUGGGUUAAGUCCCGCAACGAGCGCAACCCUUAAGCUUAGUUGCCAUCAUUAAGUUGGGCACUCUAAGUUGACUGCCGGUGACAAACCGGAGGAAGGUGGGGAUGACGUCAAAUCAUCAUGCCCCUUAUGAUUUGGGCUACACACGUGCUACAAUGGACAAUACAAAGGGCAGCGAAACCGCGAGGUCAAGCAAAUCCCAUAAAGUUGUUCUCAGUUCGGAUUGUAGUCUGCAACUCGACUACAUGAAGCUGGAAUCGCUAGUAAUCGUAGAUCAGCAUGCUACGGUGAAUACGUUCCCGGGUCU
rnacentral:rRNA from 1 species